rnacentral:rRNA from 1 species
GUGUAUGGCCAUGCUACCCUGAACAAGCCUGAUCCUGUCUGAUCUCGGAAACUAAGCAGGGUCGGGCCUGGUUAGUACUUGGAUAGGAGACCACCUAGAAAGACCAGGUGCUGUAGGUG